rnacentral:tRNA from 1 species
UGCCAGGGUGAUGAAAUUGGUAGACAUGCUAGACUCAAAAUCUGGUGACUUCACGGUCGUGUGGGUUCGAUUCCCAUCCCUGGUAA